ACUCCUGUAGCCCAAUCGGAAGAGGCGGCUGUCUCAAAAACAGUCUCGUGUGGGUUCAACUCCCACCAGGAGUACCA
rnacentral:tRNA from 2 species